GACGAACGCUGGCGGCGUGCUUAACACAUGCAAGUCGAACGGAAGGGCCCUGCUUUUGUGGGGUGCUCGAGUGGCGAACGGGUGAGUAACACGUGAGUAACCUGCCCUUGACUUUGGGAUAACUUCAGGAAACUGGGCCUAAUACCGGAUAGGAGCUCCUGCUGCAUGGUGGGGGUUGGAAAGUUUCGGCGGUUGGGGAUGGACUCGCGGCUUAUCAGCUUGUUGGUGGGGUAGUGGCUUACCAAGGCUUUGACGGGUAGCCGGCCUGAGAGGGUGACCGGCCACAUUGGGACUGAGAUACGGCCCAGACUCCUACGGGAGGCAGCAGUGGGGAAUAUUGCACAAUGGGCGGAAGCCUGAUGCAGCAACGCCGCGUGCGGGAUGACGGCCUUCGGGUUGUAAACCGCUUUCGCCUGUGACGAAGCGUGAGUGACGGUAAUGGGUAAAGAAGCACCGGCUAACUACGUG
rnacentral:rRNA from 1 species